rnacentral:rRNA from 1 species
UACGUAGGGGGCAAGCGUUGUCCGGAAUCAUUGGGCGUAAAGAGCGCGUAGGCGGCCCUGUAAGUCCGCUGUGAAAGUCAAGGGCUCAACCCUUGAAUGCCGGUGGAUACUGCAGGGCUAGAGUCCGGAAGAGGCGAGUGGAAUUCCCGGUGUAGCGGUGAAAUGCGCAGAUAUCGGGAGGAACACCAAUGGCGAAGGCAGCUCGCUGGGACGGUACUGACGCUGAGACGCGAAAGCGUGGGGAGCGAACAGG